rnacentral:rRNA from 1 species
GACGAACGCUGGCGGCGUGCUUAACACAUGCAAGUCGAACGGGCCUGUCUUCUUUUUUGGGGGUGGGUUGAGUGGCGAACGGGUGAGUAUCACGUGAGUAACCUGCCCUUCGGUCCUGGAUAACCGCUUGAAAGGGCGGCUAAUACGGGGUGGUCCGGUUGGUCCGCAUGGGCUGGUCGGGAUAGAUUCACUGUUUUUGGUGUUUCGGCGGGGGAUGGGCUCGCGGCCUAUCAGCUUGUUGGUGGGGUGAUGGCCUACCAAGGCGGUGACGGGUAGCCGGCCUGAGAGGGUGGGCGGCCACACUGGGACUGAGAUACGGCCCAGACUCCUGCGGGAGGCAGCAGUGGGGGUAUUGCACAAUGGGCGGAAGCCUGAUGCAGCGACGUCGCGUGAGGGAUGGAGGCCUUCGGGUUGUGAACCUCUGUUUCCGGUGGUGAAGGCCCUGUCCGUGUGGUGGGGUUGACGGUAGCCGGGGAUGAAGCGCCGGCUAACUACGUG